rnacentral:lncRNA from 1 species
UGGACACCUUGGUGGCGACUGAUCAGGCAUGGAGAUGGAGGUAGUAGUAACAUCAGACGACAACUUUUCCGGUUCCUGUUAUAAGUUGUUGAAAUUAAGAAUCAAAUCAAUGAGUAAUAUAAGCCCUAUAUAUAUAGAUGACAGAAAUUUAUCAUCAAUUCUAGUAUAGAUUUGCAAUUAAAGGUAAAGAAAGUAGAUUGUAUAACCUGAGAAUCAAAUCCAGAGUCAAGCGACUGAUUCAAACGAUGCAGCAGUGCUCUCAAAGGAGAGCAAUGGGAUACCCAGGGAUAGUUCUUCUUUCGAUUUAAACGUUUAAUGGUAUUAGGACGAACACGGCCGAACCUUUUCUUCCCCAUCAUUGCUGCUGUGCUUUGUGCCUCCUAGACCUAAACGAUUAGGGGACGCUGGAAACCCUAGAGCUAAAUAUAUAUAUGUGUGUAUAUAUGUAUAUAUGUAUAUAGGAAAUCAAUUUACCAAGGUAUCAAAGAAAAUUACAAACAGAGAGAAAGAUAAAGGAAAGCUUAAACGAAAUCAGAUGAUAAAUCAAUUCGGAGACUCACAGAGCAAAUCGUCGAAGACGAAGAAGAUUAAUGAUGCAUAAAGACAGUAAACACAAGAGAUUAUGAAAAACGUUUGAUCUAUUCAGAGUUGUUUCAUUCUAUAAAAGACCUAUCUAAACCAGAUCGAUACGAAAAACAAACGGUACAAAAACUACAGAGACUCGUCGAAACAAACAACAAUCAGAUAUGAAUCAUCAAAGGUUCUUUGAUUGAGAUAACAGAGCGAUAUAAACAUAGAUCAACAGCAGAACGCGAUAAUCUAAACAUCAAAACGGAACAAAGAAGAAUUUCAUCGACGAUCUACGAGAAGAAGAAGACUAACCUUG